rnacentral:rRNA from 1 species
CACGUAGGGCGCGAGCGUUGUCCGGAAUUAUUGGGCGUAAAGAGCUCGUAGGCGGUGUGUCACGUCGUUCGUGAAAACCUGCAGCUUAACUGUGGCGUGCGGUCGAUACGGGCAUGACUGGAGUUCGGCAGGGGAGACUGGAAUUCCUGGUGUAGCGGUGAAAUGCGCAGAUAUCAGGAGGAACACCGGUGGCGAAGGCGGGUCUCUGGGCCGAUACUGACGCUGAGGAGCGAAAGCGUGGGGAGCGAACAGG